rnacentral:rRNA from 1 species
AGAGUUUGAUCAUGGCUCAGAUUGAACGCUGGCGGCAGGCCUAACACAUGCAAGUCGAACGGUAACAGGAAGAAGCUUGCUUCUUUGCUGACGAGUGGCGGACGGGUGAGUAAUGUCUGGGAAACUGCCUGAUGGAGGGGGAUAACUGCUGGAAACGGUAGCUAAUACCGCAUAACGUCGCAAGACCAAAGAGGGGGACCUUCGGGCCUCUUGCCAUCGGAUGUGCCCAGAUGGGAUUAGCUAGUAGGUGGGGUAACGGCUCACCUAGGCGACGAUCCCUAGCUGGUCUGAGAGGAUGACCAGCCACACUGGAACUGAGACACGGUCCAGACUCCUACGGGAGGCAGCAGUGGGGAAUAUUGCACAAUGGGCGCAAGCCUGAUGCAGCCAUGCCGCGUGUAUGAAGAAGGCCUUCGGGUUGUAAAGUACUUUCAGCGGGGAGGAAGGGAGUAAAGUUAAUACCUUUGCUCAUUGACGUUACCCGCAGAAGAAGCACCGGCUAACUCCGUGCCAGCAGCCGCGGUAAUACGGAGGGUGCAAGCGUUAAUCGGAAUUACUGGGCGUAAAGCGCACGCAGGCGGUUUGUUAAGUCAGAUGUGAAAUCCCCGGGCUCAACCUGGGAACUGCAUCUGAUACUGGCAAGCUUGAGUCUCGUAGAGGGGGGUAGAAUUCCAGGUGUAGCGGUGAAAUGCGUAGAGAUCUGGAGGAAUACCGGUGGCGAAGGCGCCCCCUGGACGAAGACUGACGCUCAGGUGCGAAAGCGUGGGGAGCAAACAGGAUUAGAUACCCUGGUAGUCCACGCCGUAAACGAUGUCGACUUGGAGGUUGUGCCCUUGAGGCGUGGCUUCCGGAGCUAACGCGUUAAGUCGACCGCCUGGGGAGUACGGCCGCAAGGUUAAAACUCAAAUGAAUUGACGGGGGCCCGCACAAGCGGUGGAGCAUGUGGUUUAAUUCGAUGCAACGCGAAGAACCUUACCUGGUCUUGACAUCCACGGAAGUUUUCAGAGAUGAGAAUGUGCCUUCGGGAACCGUGAGACAGGUGCUGCAUGGCUGUCGUCAGCUCGUGUUGUGAAAUGUUGGGUUAAGUCCCGCAACGAGCGCAACCCUUAUCCUUUGUUGCCAGCGGUCCGGCCGGGAACUCAAAGGAGACUGCCAGUGAUAAACUGGAGGAAGGUGGGGAUGACGUCAAGUCAUCAUGGCCCUUACGACCAGGGCUACACACGUGCUACAAUGGCGCAUACAAAGAGAAGCGACCUCGCGAGAGCAAGCGGACCUCAUAAAGUGCGUCGUAGUCCGGAUUGGAGUCUGCAACUCGACUCCAUGAAGUCGGAAUCGCUAGUAAUCGUGGAUCAGAAUGCCACGGUGAAUACGUUCCCGGGCCUUGUACACACCGCCCGUCACACCAUGGGAGUGGGUUGCAAAAGAAGUAGGUAGCUUAACCUUCGGGAGGGCGCUUACCACUUUGUGAUUCAUGACUGGGGUGAAGUCGUAACAAGGUAACCGUAGGGAACCUGCGGUUGGAUCACCU